rnacentral:rRNA from 1 species
UACGUAGGGGGCAAGCGUUGUCCGGAUUUAUUGGGCGUAAAGAGCGUGUAGGCGGCCUGGAAGGUCAGCUGUGAAAACUCGAGGCUCAACCUCGAGACGUCGGUUGAAACCACCUGGCUAGAGUCCGGAAGAGGAGAGUGGAAUUCCCGGUGUAGCGGUGAAAUGCGCAGAUAUCAGGAAGAACACCCGUGGCGAAGGCGGCUCUCUGGGACGGUACUGACGCUGUGACGCGAAAGCGUGGGGAGCGAACAGG